GACGAACGCUGGCGGCGUGCCUAAUACAUGCAAGUAGAACGCUGAAGGAGGAGCUUGCUUCUCUGGAUGAGUUGCGAACGGGUGAGUAACACGUAGGUAACCUGCCUGGUAGCGGGGGAUAACUAUUGGAAACGAUAGCUAAUACCGCAUAAGAGUAGAUGUUGCAUGACAUUUGCUUAAAAGUUGCAAUUGCAUCACUACCAGAUGGACCUGCGUUGUAUUAGCUAGUUGGUGGGGUAACGGCUCACCAAGGCGACGAUACAUAGCCGACCUGGGAGGGUGGUCGGCCACACUGGGACUGAGACACGGCCCAGACUCCUACGGGAGGCCGCAGUAGGGAAUCUUCGGCAAUGGACGGAAGUCUGACCGAGCAACGCCGCGUGAGUGAAGAAGGUUCUCGGAUCGUAAAGCUCUGUUGUAAGAGAAGAACGAGUGUGAGAGUGGAAAGUUCACACUGUGACGGUACCUUACCAGAAAGGGACGGCUAACUACGUG
rnacentral:rRNA from 1 species